rnacentral:lncRNA from 1 species
CCUGGCCCGAUCCCUGCUCCGUGCCGUGGCCUGAGAUUAGUCACAGCUCAGGCCUGUGAGCCAGGAAAAUGGCUUUACUUUGCAACAAGCUGUAAGCUAAUUAUUCCCUAGCUGGUUUAAUUGGGUAGCCGUGUUAUAGAGGGAAUUUAAAAUGAGCGGAGGGAGAAAAUAGACCAGGAAAGUCAAGUAACAAAACUUUUCUGUUACUUUUGGGCGAGGUAGGUGGAGAUCCACACACUGAAGUCAACUUCGAAGUCAAUCAUUUCUACUCACCCGGAGUUGUAGCUUCGCUGGGAAAACCUAUGCUCGGUCAGAGACCACUACACCGCCAUACAGUCCAAAAGCCCGAUCCUUCCGCCGAGCCCAACCGCCCGGGUUUGAACGCUGACACCGCGGGGGGGUUUCGCAGUCGUCGGAGGAUUCUUUCCCUGCUCGGAGUUCUUACCAUGGGCGGAGGAGCAAAGUAGAGCAGGGAGUUCCUGUCCCUGAAACAGGGAAACUCAACAGGAAACUGCGCUCUCAGCUGCGGUUCAGGCCUCCUCCGCUAGGGCGGGAGCGCGCGCCCAGGAUAGAAGCACCCUUACUUCCAAGCUCCGGCCUGCCAUCGAUCAGAGAAAAUCAGAACCAGGUUGAGAACCUUCAUGAUGGCCUCCUUCACAAAACUGACCUGAGGAAACACGAGAGGUCGAGUCGAUCCGGAAAACCAGAAGGAGCUGUGAGAAAAGCUGCCGCUCAUUUACCUUCUCUCUCAGCAGGCAGCGAUCGUGGAUCGUUGCCAGAUACCUGUAGUGGAUCUUAAUCAGCUGGUCCAAGUCCUUCGCCUCCUGAACUUGGUGCUGAAACUCAAGUCCGGUGCUGUGCAGGAUCUGUUACAGAAACCACGAAAUGGGUUGGCCUUUAAAUCAGAAGUGACUCAUCGGUUUUCCAUCAGCUGACUACUUCUAAAUGACUCUUCAGGGGCCUCAAAAGUAGGCGAAAUUUGUGAAGUAGUCAUCAGCAACUUUUUGAUGAGCAAAAAAAAA